rnacentral:rRNA from 1 species
CGUGGCGUGAGUCGUCUGCUUAAUUGCGAUAACGAGCGAGACUCCCUCUGCUAAAUACAAACUUAAUUAUCUUGUUAUGGUUGUUCUUAGCUGGAUUCGGGACUCCAAGUCCCAAGAAAUGGAGCAAUAACAGGUCUGUGAUGCCCUUAGAUGUUCGGGGCCGCACGCGUGCUACAAUGAUGGUAACAGCGUGAUUGUCCUCGCCCGAGAGGGCUUGGCAAACAGUUGAGAUAUUAUUAUGGCUGGAAUUGAGUGUUGAAAUUUUCUCUCAUGAACGAGGAAUUCCAAGUAAAUGCGCGUCAUCAACGUGCAUUGAAUACGUCCCUGCCCUUUGUAC